GUUCCCUGUCCCGCCGCGCCCGGGCCGCUCCGCAGCAGGGAGAGCCCGGCCUGGGACGGCGGGCGGGUUCCCCUCUGGUGCGCAGUAGGUUGCCAGGGCCUCUUUUCGAGACCAGGUGAAGAAUUUGUGGGUUGGAGUCAGAUCCAUUCACAGUUCAAUCCUGGUGGUGUUUCUGUCCAGUCUCAGUUUCCUGAUCUGUAAAAUGGGAAAAGGAGUAUCUUUCCUUCUAGUAGUCCCACGGGCUGUCGCAUCAGGAAGCUUGUGACCUACAAGGAGAGGUGACAGGGAGAAUCCCAAGAACAAUUACCAGGCUUUGUCUUUCUGCCGCCAGUGGCUAAGAAGGAGCAGCACUGUCCAGCCCGCCAUCUAAGAAGGGGCCAUUUCUGGACCCUGCUCUGUAUUUCCAGAGGCUGUUGACAAUCGCCUUCAUUUUCUUUUUCUUUCUUUCUUUCCUUCUUUCUUUCUUUCUCUUUCUUUUUCUUUUCUUUUUUUUCUUUGACGGCUAAAUAGUACUCCAUUAGUAUAGAUGUACCACACUUUCUUUUUUGACAGAGUCUCACUCUGUUGCCCAGGCUGGAGUGCGAUGGCUUGAUCUCAACUCACUGCAACCUCUGUCUCCCGGGUUCAAGCGAUUCUGCUGCCACAGCCUCAGGAGUAGCUGGAAUUACAGGCAUGCGCCACCCCACGCCCGGCUAAUUUUGUAUUUUUAGUAGAGACGGGGUUUCUCCAUGUUGGUCAGGCUGGUCUCGAACUCCUGACCUCAUGUGAUCCACUCACCUUGACCUCCCAAAGUGCUGGGAUUACAGGCGUGAGCCACCGUGCCUGGUCAAUCGCCCUCAUUUUCUUGCUAGGAAAUACCCUCCAAUAAAUACUGGGUACACGUCACAGAAUUUUCUUUCCGUGGUGGGAUUCAAAGGGAGAAAAGUGCAGGAGUAUUCCAAUAACAUGCUUUCUCUCUGGGUUUAAAGCCCACACCCCCAGGAUUAGGCGCGGCUUUUGUAGGACUCUGAUUCCCAGGCUUAAGCAGAAAAACACAGAAUCCUAGGCUCUUAGCGCUGAAAGUCAGAGAGGACUUGCCCUACCACUUUUAACUGCUGAUCUACAGAUUUCAGCUAUAUGGUGUGCUGGUUGCUGCUUCAGCAAGUUAUUACAUGUCUCUCAGCCUCAGUUUUCUCACCUGUCAUAUGGGAAAAACACUGCCUGGUGGAGAAGGGUCUGGUGCUCUGCUCGGGAGUCUCCUGUUUUCACAGAGCUUCCUGAGUC
rnacentral:lncRNA from 1 species